CUGGAGGGACUCCAUCCAGGCGGGAUCGGCGACACUAGGUGAGGGCGAGAAGGAGGCGACUUAGCAGGCGGGGCACAUGCUGCCGAAGGCAGGGGUCCCCUCGGACCAGGCGCUCGCCGCCCGCCUAGCGUCACUCCUCAGGGAAACCGUGGUAGCCAACAAGCUUGGGGCUGCUGGAGUUUCCAAAGACCUCUGGAUCCUGUAGUCCUCCACGCUAGCUUCCAAAGAGCGCUGCUGACCCGGCUCGCUCCCGGGUGCAAGACCUCAACAGUUAGGAGCAAAACCCUCCGUGAAAGAGAGUUCCCAGGUUCUGGAGAACAGAAGACUGAAGUUAUACCUCCACUUCUGCAAGAGGCCUGGAGGGAAAUUUGUUUGUUUGUGAGUUCACUAUUCCCGGCUUCUGAGGACACAGACCUGGGCAUG